rnacentral:rRNA from 1 species
GAUGAACGCUGGCGGCGUGCCUAAUACAUGCAAGUCGAGCGAACGGACGAGAAGCUUGCUUCUCUGAUGUUAGCGGCGGACGGGUGAGUAACACGUGGAUAACCUACCUAUAAGACUGGGAUAACUUCGGGAAACCGGAGCUCAUACCGGAUAAUAUUUUGAACCGCAUGGUUCAAAAGUGAAAGACGGUCUUGCUGUCACUUAUAGAUGGUUCCGCGCUGCAUUAGCUAGUUGGUAAGGUAACGGCUUACCAAGGCAACGAUGCAUAGCCGACCUGAGAGGGUGAUCGGCCACACUGGAACUGAGACACGGUCCAGACUCCUACGGGAGGCAGCAGUAGGGAAUAUUCCGCAAUGGGCGAAAGCCUGACGGAGCAACGCCGCGUGAGUGAUGAAGGUCUUCGGAUCGUAAAACUCUGUUAUUAGGGAAGAACAUAUGUGUAAGUAACUGUGCACAUCUUGACGGUACCUAAUCAGAAAGCCACGGCUAACUACGUG